UACAGAGGGUGCAAACGUUGUUCGGAUUUACUGGGCGUAAAGCGCGUGUAGGCUGCUUCGCAAGUCGGAUGUGAAAGCCCUGGGCUCAACCCAGGAAGUGCAUUCGAAACUGCAGAGCUGGAGUCCUGGAGAGGAAGGCGGAAUUCUCGGUGUAGAGGUGAAAUUCGUAGAUAUCGAGAGGAACACCGGUGGCGAAGGCGGCCUUCUGGACAGUGACUGACGCUGAGACGCGGAAAGCGUGGGGAGCAGACAGG
rnacentral:rRNA from 1 species